rnacentral:rRNA from 1 species
GGUAGUCCACGCCGUAAACGAUGUCGACUUGGAGGUUGUGCCCUUGAGGCGUGGCUUCCGGAGCUAACGCGUUAAGUCGACCGCCUGGGGAGUACGGCCGCAAGGUUAAAACUCAAAUGAAUUGACGGGGGCCCGCACAAGCGGUGGAGCAUGUGGUUUAAUUCGAUGCAACGCGAAGAACCUUACCUGGUCUUGACAUCCACAGAACUUUCCAGAGAUGGAUUGGUGCCUUCGGGAACUGUGAGACAGGUGCUGCAUGGCUGUCGUCAGCUCGUGUUGUGAAAUGUUGGGUUAAGUCCCGCAACGAGCGCAACCCUUAUCCUUUGUUGCCAGCGGUCCGGCCGGGAACUCAAAGGAGACUGCCAGUGAUAAACUGGAGGAAGGUGGGGAUGACGUCAAGUCAUCAUGGCCCUUACGGCCUGGGCUACACACGUGCUACAAUGGUCGGUACAGAGGGUUGCCAAGCCGCGAGGUGGAGCUAAUCUCACAAAACCGAUCGUAGUCCGGAUCGCAGUCUGCAACUCGACUGCGUGAAGUCGGAAUCGCUAGUAAUCGCGAAUCAGAAUGUCGCGGUGAAUACGUUCCCGGGCCUUGUACACACCGCCCGUCACACCAUGGGAGUGGGUUGCACCAGAAGUAGCUAGUCUAACCUUCGGGGGGACGGUUACCACGGUGUGAUUCAUGACUGGGGUGAAGUCGUAACAAGGUAACC